AGCGAACGCUGGCGGCAGGCUUAACACAUGCAAGUCGAACGCCCCGCAAGGGGAGUGGCAGACGGGUGAGUAACACGUGGGAACGUACCCCUUGGUUCGGAAUAACUUGGGGAAACUCAAGCUAAUACCGGAUAAGCUCUUAUGGGGAAAGGUUUACUGCCGAAGGAUCGGCCCGCGUCUGAUUAGCUAGUUGGUGAGGUAAUGGCUCACCAAGGCGACGAUCAGUAGCUGGUCUGAGAGGAUGAUCAGCCACACUGGGACUGAGACACGGCCCAGACUCCUACGGGAGGCAGCAGUGGGGAAUAUUGGACAAUGGGGGCAACCCUGAUCCAGCCAUGCCGCGUGAGUGAUGAAGGCCUUAGGGUUGUAAAGCUCUUUUACCCGGGACGAUAAUGACUGUACCGGGAGAAUAAGCCCCGGCUAACUUCGUGCCAGCAGCCGCCGCAGUAA
rnacentral:rRNA from 1 species